rnacentral:rRNA from 1 species
AUCGAACGCUGGCGGCAGGCCUAACACAUGCAAGUCGAACGUGUGGCGGGCGUGUGAGUAAUGUCUGGGAAACUGCCUGCUGGUUGGGGAUAACUUCUGGAAACGGUAGCUAAUCCCGCAUACCAUCAGAUGUGCCCCUCUGGGAUUAGCUAGUUGGUGGGGUAACGGGUCCCCAGGGCGACGAUCCCUCGCUGGGCUGAGAGGAUGACCAGCCACACUGGAACGGAGGCACGGUCCAGACGCCUACGGGAGGCAGCAGUGGGGGAUAUUGGACAAUGGGCGCAAGCGUGAUGCAGCCAUGCCGCGUAUAUGAAGAAGGCCUUGGAGUUGUAAAGUACGUUCAGCGGGGAGGCGUUACCCGCAGAAGAAGCACCGGCUAACUCCGUGCCAGCAGCCGCGGUAAUAC